rnacentral:piRNA from 1 species
UACAGGAAUGUGGCAUUGUGCAUUGUGU